rnacentral:lncRNA from 1 species
GUUCUUCAUUUUUUUCACAUUGCAUCUUCAUUUUGGAACCAUCUAGGGUAGAUCUCUCAGAAACCAUCCAACCCCAUGAACAAAAUGUGACAUGUUUUUUUUUUGAACUUGAAUUUUUUUAUGAGUGUUCUAUAGCAAUAGGGAAGUUUCCACACCAAAUUUGACGAUGUUUUGAGAAAAAUUGAAUUUUAUAGAAUUUUUAUAGCACAAAAGCCACACAUAAUGACACUUAAUCAUAGAAAUUAGGGUAUAUAACAUUUGAAUUUAUGGUUCAAAAGUUUAUUGAGAAUAAACAAUCUUACUAUACACAUAAAAGAACAGGUGGUGUAUUUAUUUAAAAUUCAGAGAAUAUAUUAUGAAUUUAAUAGCUUAUUGG